CUCCCACUGGACGCCUUGUUGCUGCAAUUGUUCUCCCAAUUGUACUUGUUGUUCUUCUAGCUAUGCUUGUAUACGAGUGUUGCACCCUGAAAUGUACAAAAAAAGCACUAGGAGUGCAAGUCCCAACUAGUGAUGUACCUGCCUGAUGACCUGAGAGGCCUGAUGAUCAAUGAUCAAUGACAUCAUGUAUAGUCUCUUCCACUUUAUUAAAUAAUUGCGACAUUUAAACAGAUUUUCAUGUAUUACUGUAUGACAGAUCAGUUAUACUCCUGCUCACUGACAUGGUUUUAAAGUUAUUGUUAUCUGAUUUCUG